GAUGAACGCUGGCGGCGUGCCUAAUACAUGCAAGUCGAGCGAACAGACGAGGAGCUUGCUCCUCUGACGUUAGCGGCGGACGGGUGAGUAACACGUGGAUAACCUACCUAUAAGACUUGGAUAACUUCGGGAAACCGGAGCUAAUACCGGAUAAUAUAUUGAACCGCAUGGUUCAAUAGUGAAAGACGGUUUUGCUGUCACUUAUAGAUGGAUCCGCGCCGCAUUAGCUAGUUGGUAAGGUAACGGCUUACCAAGGCGACGAUGCGUAGCCGACCUGAGAGGGUGAUCGGCCACACUGGAACUGAGACACGGUCCAGACUCCUAAGGGAGGCAGCAGUAGGGAAUCUUACGCAAUGGGCGAAAGCCUGACGGAGCAACGCAGCGUGAGUGAUGAAGGUCUUCGGAUCGUAAAAAUCUGUUAUUAGGGAAGAACAAAUGUGUAAGUAAAUAUGCACGUAGUGACGGUACCUAAUCAGAAAGCCACGGCUAACUACGUG
rnacentral:rRNA from 1 species